AGUACUUUUGAUUUCAUAUUUGUAACACAGACUGAUUUUAUUAAAAUAACAUCGAAAUUUAAUAAAUGGUUUAUUGGUAUUGUGAGUUGGACUAGACACCAUGUUAAGGUCGCCGUGGUGUAAUGGAUAUGGUGUCCGCCUAGCGACCGGGAGGUCACGGGUUCGAUCCUCGCUGUGGGAGCGUUCUUUCGAUCUCCAAUAUAGACACCAAGUACUGGUUCUAGGCCCAUGAAACGGACUGGAGAGCAUUUCAACUAAAGUUUGCAAAGAACAAGAAUUGGUCGGAGAAAGGCGAUGGUCACCGACAACAACAUAAACUACUGAUUGGAAAAUUUCUGCUGGUUGUACCAAAAACAUGCACUGUCCCACAGCAGCUUCCAUCAAAUCCAGCAGCAGACAUUGCUAUUUCGAAUGUGGAGCAUUUAAGUUUGAGAGAAUACAUGCCGGUAAAAGCAGAUUAUAUGUCGUCACAAUCAAUUAGAUAAGGCACGCGAACGUAAGUAUAUAAUUGUAUAAACAGGUUUUACGGAUUAAAACAAAUCCCAUCAAACAUAGAAAUCUCAAUUUUCUUAAAACCGAAUUAAACUGUUUCUCUUUUUUUAUUAUGAACAUGUGUGUGCAAGCUGGUAUCAUGUAUAAUAUAUAAAUACUAACCGCAUGCUCACAAGUUUUACAAAGAUUUUACAAUGCUUAAACACAAAUAAUAUUUUUAUUAUGCCUCCCUUCGAAGAAGAGGGGGUAUAUUGUUUUGCACAUGUCGGUCGGUCCGUCGGUCGGUCGGUCCGUUCACCAGAUGGUUUCCGGAUGAAAACUCAAGAAUGCUUACGCCUAGGAUCAUGAAACUCCAUAGGUACAUUGAUCAUGACUGGCAGAUGACUACUAUUAAUUUUCAGGUCACUAGGUCAAAGGUCAAGGUUACAGUGACUCGAAACAGUUAAAUGGUUUCAUAAUGAUAACUCAAGAAUAAGUAGGCCUAGGAUCAUGAAACUUCAUAGGUACAUAGAUCUUGACUGGAUGAUGACCUCUAUUGAUUUACAGGUCACUAGGUCAAAGGUCAAGGUCACAGUGACUAAAAACGUAUUCACACAAUGGCUGCCAUUACAACAGACAGCCCAUAUGGGCGCAUGCAUGUUUUACAAACAGCCCUUGUUUUCAAUAUGGUUAUCAUAACCGAGGGACGUGUGUGAUUAAAUUAUAUAUUUUAAUUACCAGCGACUUUGAUAUAGUUUUGGUUUCGUGUAUUCAUGCUUUUGAAACAAAUGAAAGUGUUGUGUUAAGACAAAUAUGUUUGUGCUGUUUCAAGCUGUAUUAACAUCUAAGAAAUAAUUUCAAACUCUAAAAGGAUCAACCCAUGUUGACACGACAUGUUGUGAAGAAAUACCUGAAAUCCCUAAAAAGAGGCCGAGAUGAAAACGAUAUUCCUGUCGCGUUAUGUAAGGCCUCUACGGCAAACGCUAAUAAAACAGCUGUGAAAGGAACUGCUGAUAUUAGAGCUGGAGUUAUUUCCGAUAUUAAAAAGGAGAGUGUUUUCAUAUCCUGUUUUGAUAUUGAUAACGAUUCUCGUGACGAGAUUGCAAGAGAGCUAGAUAAACAUCAUAUUCGACAUGAAUACGCAACAGUGAAUUCCAGCCGGCUCUCAGAAGGUGACAGUCGAACAGGCUGGAUAAUAGUUAGUGUCUCGAAGAAAUUACUGAAAUCUGGUGUGUUUCGUUAAAUCUCAUGAAAUGCCUGACUGCCGAUGUUGAUGAAGGCAAACUGAGAGUUCUGCUUGUAUUGCGCAGCGGUGUGAAUAUCUUAGAUGUUCCAAGGUUUGUUCGAUGGGUUACAUGCUUCAGCGAAGAUGAAAAAUCAUACAAAAACUGGAUUGAAAGAACAAUUUCAGGAGCACCAGUAAAUAUUGGGAGGGCACUUCCAGCAGGGGAUGUAAUUCCAGGCUCAUGUUGGGCCUAUGUCUUGAACUACCUGAAGAUUAUGCUGACGACCAGCAGUAUUAAUAAAACAAUUCACGACUAUCUAACGAACAAAGACCUAAACUGCGGCUGCAUCCGUAAACUAAUAGUGGUGUGGGUCAAGUCGUGCGAUAUGGAGAACACCAUAGACAUGGUUGCAAACAAAAGCGGUGGGCGGCGUAAAAUUGCUAGCAGCGGUCCGAUAAAAGUUACAGCAAAUAGCCUUGGUGGACAGACAGGCAGACCAUUUGAUGUGCAUAUGUUCAGCUAAACUGACGAGUCAAUUCCAGUCA